rnacentral:rRNA from 1 species
UGAACGCUAGCGGCAGGCUUAAUACAUAGCAAGUCGAGGGGCGAUCAAGGGUAACACGAAAGUGUAUUGUUGGCGACCGGCGGACGGGUGAGUAAUAGGUAGGGUAACCUACCUCAUACUGAGGCAUAGCUGGGAGAAAUUCCAGGUAAUUCCUCAUGAGGUUAUAUGACACAUGUGAUAUAAUCAAAGGUAUCGCAAGGUACUGGUAUGAGAUGGGCUUACUGACCAUUAGCUAGUUGGUGAGAUAAGAGCUCACCAAGGCGAAGAUGGUUAGGGGUUUUGAGAGAGAGAUCCCCCACAUUGGAACUGAGAUACGGUCCAGACUCCUACGGGAGGCAGCAGUAGGGAAUAUUGGGCAAUGGGCGGAAGCCUGACCCAGCCAUGCCGCGUGAAGGAAGACGGCCUUAUGGGUUGUAAACUUCUUUACUAUGCGACUAACUAGAUUUACGAGAUAAUUCUAUAGAAUGUAGCAUAGCAAAAAAGCACCGGCUAACUCCGUG